CAGACGAACGCUGCGGCGUGCCUAAUACAUGCAAGUCGAGCGCGGGAAGCUCAUCAGUCAUCCUUCGGGGUGACUGUUGAGUGGAACGAGCGGCGGAUGGGUGAGUAACACGUGGGCAACCUGCCUGUAAGCUUGGGAUAACUCCGGGAAACCGGUGCUAAUACCAGAUAAGAUUUCCGUUCGCAUGAACGGAAAAUGAAAGGCGGCUUUUGCUGUCACUUACAGAUGGACCCGCGUCGCAUUAGCUAGUUGGUGGGGUAAAGGCCCACCAAAGCGACGAUCUAUAGCCGGCCUGAGAGGGCGACCGGCCACAUUGGGACUGAGACACGGCCCAAACUCCUACGGGAGGCAGCAGUGGGGAAUAUUGCACAAUGGGGGAAACCCUGAUGCAGCGACGCCGCGUGAGCGAAGAAGUAUUUCGGUAUGUAAAGCUCUAUCAGCAGGGAAGAAAGUGACGGUACCUGACUAAGAAGCCCCGGCUAACUACGUGCCAGCAGCCGCGGUAAUACGUAGGGGGCAAGCGUUAUCCGGAUUUACUGGGUGUAAAGGGAGCGUAGACGGCAAUGCAAGUCUGGAGUGAAAACCCGGGGCUUAACCCCGGGACUGCUUUGGAAACUGUGUAGCUUGAGUACCGGAGGGGUAAGCGGAAUUCCUAGUGUAGCGGUGAAAUGCGUAGAUAUUAGGAGGAACACCAGUGGCGAAGGCGGCUUACUGGACGGUAACUGACGUUGAGGCUCGAAAGCGUGGGGAGCAAACAGG
rnacentral:rRNA from 1 species